rnacentral:rRNA from 1 species
UACGUAGGUGGCAAGCGUUGUCCGGAAUUAUUGGGCGUAAAGCGCGCGCAGGCGGUCCUUUAAGUCUGAUGUGAAAGCCCACGGCUCAACCGUGGAGGGUCAUUGGAAACUGGAGGACUUGAGUACAGAAGAGGAAAGCGGAAUUCCACGUGUAGCGGUGAAAUGCGUAGAGAUGUGGAGGAACACCAGUGGCGAAGGCGACUGUCUGGACAGAUACUGACGCUGAGGCGCGAAAGCGUGGGGAGCAAACAGG